rnacentral:rRNA from 1 species
UCCAGACUCCUACGGGAGGCAGCAGUGGGGGAUAUUGCACAAUGGGGGAAACCCUGAUGCAGCGACGCCGCGUGAGUGAAGAAGUAUUUCGGUAUGUAAAGCUCUAUCAGCAGGGAAGAAAAAAGACGGUACCUGACUAAGAAGCCCCGGCUAACUACGUGCCAGCAGCCGCGGUAAUACGUAGGGGGCAAGCGUUAUCCGGAUUUACUGGGUGUAAAGGGAGCGUAGACGGCAAUACAAGUCGGAAGUGAAAUACCCGGGCUCAACCUGGGAACUGCUUUGGAAACUGUAUGGCUGGAGUGCUGGAGAGGUAAGCGGAAUUCCUAGUGUAGCGGUGAAAUGCGUAGAUAUUAGGAGGAACACCAGUGGCGAAGGCGGCUUACUGGACAGUAACUGACGUUGAGGCUCGAAAGCGUGGGGAGCAAACAGGAUUAGAUACCCGAGUAU